ensembl:lncRNA
GUUGCUCCUGGAAUUGCACAUUUUUCAUGGAAGGAACCAAUUAAUCUUUCCCAGUGUUACUGCAGUGCUAUUUACUAUGCUCUGGUGAUCCAUCAUUUGCCCUUCUUUGGCUGCUCCAAUGCGAAUUGUCAUAAUUGUUAUGGCAGCAUGCCUGAAAGUAGGAAUUACCAUCUCAGGUAAGAAGAGAGAUACUGAACUUGGAAUUUGAGUCUGGAAGUAGAGUUUUACAGCUGCUUUGCAAACAGGAGCUCGAAACCCAGUCUUCGGUGGAAGAUUCUUAGCCAUAUUUCUCUUGUUUUCAGUGGAGCAGUGGGACACACCAUGUAACUGCGUGAUGAUCCUUCCAGUCCUGUUUCCUGUGGCGAGUGUGAUGGCAUGUGACACCUGUAUGAUCGUCCAGGAGCUUGUCUUUGGGCACGUGGGGACAGACCGCUCCUGCGCCAUUAAGAUUUCCCUCUUGAAGAGCUUCCUGGACUCCUCUGCCCUUCAGAACCACCUCCCAAGGGACUCUACCAACCAGUGUCCUCAGCAGCAUAAAGUCAGCCCUCCGGAAGUGCAAUACAGUGGUUUUACUGGUCCCCUUCCUGGCCUCGCCAAGAAUAGUGAACUCCACCAUUUCAUGGUCACUCUGCCAAGACAGUUUCCGACCACCACAUCCUCCACCAGUCCUUCUCUGUUUGUGAAGAGAAGGUCUAGCGGGGCACCACCCCUGGUAGGCUCACUAAUCAGCUGCGUCAGGAAGCUAUCUUCCACGCUCUCCAGAAACCUCCUAGCCUGCUUUCUCUGGGCUGUGUUGUGCUUCCAGGAUAUGUCAGGGAAGUUGAAGUCCCCCACAAGAACAAGCGCUGAAGAUUUCGCAACUUCUGUCAGCUGCCUGUAGAACUCCUCAUCUGUCUCCUCAUCCUGGUUCGGCGGUCUAUAACAGACCCCGACCAGGAUGCUAGCCUUAUUGUCCCUGCCAAUCCUAACCCAAAGGGACUCGACCUUGUUAUUCCCAGCCUCGAGUUCUACAACAUUGAAAGACUCUCUAAUAUAGAGGGCCACACCACCACCCCUUCUGUGCUGCCUGUCCCUUCUGAAGAGCUUAUAGCCAGGCAUUGCAGCACUCCAGUCAUGAGAGUGGUCCCACCACGUCUCCGUGAUGGCAACCAAGUCGUAGCCUGCCUGCUGCACAAUGGCUUCCAGCUCCUCCUGUUUGUUACCCAUGCUGCGUGCAUUGGUGUAGAUGCACUUCAGCUGGGCCAUUGUCUUAUCCCCCGGCCUUGCUAUCGUUCCCCCUGGCACAGCUCCAAUCCUUGCUUCAGCCCCAUCCCCCUUCUUACUUAGUUUAAAGCCCUCUCAAUGAACCCUGCCAGCUCCUGGCCCAGGAUCCUUUUUCCCAUAAAAGAUAGCGACCCGUCCGUGGCCAUCAGGCUGGGUGCUGAGUAAAGUGCCCCAUGGUCGAAAAAAAACAAGAUUUCUGUGUUGGCACCAGCCCCUGAGCCACGUGUUUAGCAGGUGGGCUUUCCGUGUCCUCUCCGUACCCCUCCCUGCCACCGUAGGGAUGGACGAAACCACCACCUGCACCCCUGCUCCAUCCACUAACCGUCCCAG